rnacentral:rRNA from 1 species
AGAAUCAACGCUGGCGGCGUGCCUAACACAUGCAAGUCGAACGCGAGAGGGGCUUCGGCCCCGAUUGAGUGGCGAACGGGUGAGUAACGCGUGGGUGACCUACCUUCGAGUGGGGGAUAACGUCCCGAAAGGGACGCUAAUACCGCAUAACAUCCUCUUUUUGAACAGAGGGAGAUCAAAGCCGGGGAUCGCAAGACCUGGCGCUUGAUGAGGGGCCCGCGUCUGAUUAGCUAGUUGGUGAGGUAACGGCCCACCAAGGCAACGAUCAGUAUCCGGCCUGAGAGGGCGACGGACAACGACUGGGACUGGAGACACGGCCCAGACUCCACGGGAGCAGCAGUGGGAAUUGUCGCAAUGGGACGCAAGCCUGACGACGCAACGCCGACGUGGAGGAGUGGAGGUCGUUCGGAGUUGUAAACGUCCGUGUUGCCCGGACGAAGUAGCGCCGACCUAACACGUCGGAGUGUGACGGUACGGUCGAGGA